rnacentral:rRNA from 1 species
GUUCUCCUCGGGACGCAGCAGUGGGGAAUAUUGCACAAUGGGGGGAACCCUGAUGCAGCGACGCCGCGUGAGUGAAGAAGUAUUUCGGUAUGUAAAGCUCUAUCAGCAGGGAAGAAGAUGACGGUACCUGACUAAGAAGCCCCGGCUAACUACGUGCCAGCAGCCGCGGUAAUACGUAGGGGGCAAGCGUUAUCCGGAUUUACUGGGUGUAAAGGGAGCGUAGACGGCAGGGCAAGUCUGGAGUGAAAGCCCGGGGCUCAACCCCGGCGAGCCGUUGAAACUGGCUGUCUUGGGAUGUCGAGAGG